rnacentral:rRNA from 1 species
AUUGAACGCUGGCGGCAGGCCUAACACAUGCAAGUCGAACGGUAGCACAGAGAGCUUGCUCUCGGGUGACGAGUGGCGGACGGGUGAGUAACGUCUGGGAAACUGCCCGAUGGAGGGGGAUAACUACUGGAAACGGUAGCUAAUACCGCAUAACGUCGCAAGACCAAAGUGGGGGACCUUCGGGCCUCACACCAUCGGAUGUGCCCAGAUGGGAUUAGCUAGUAGGUGGGGUAAUGGCUCACCUAGGCGACGAUCCCUAGCUGGUCUGAGAGGAGGACCAGCCACACGGGAACUGAGACACGGUCCAGACUCCUACGGGAGGCAGCAGUGGGGAAUAUUGCACAAUGGGCGCAAGCCUGAUGCAGCCAUGCCGCGUGUAUGAAGAAGGCCUUCGGGUUGUAAAGUACUUUCAGCGGGGAGGAAGGCGGUGAAGUUAAUAACUUCACCGAUUGACGUUACCCGCAGAAGAAGCACCGGCUAACUCCGUGCCAGCCGCCGCCGUAA